UACGGAGGGGGCUAGCGUUGUCCGAAGUUACUGGGCGUAAAGCGCGUGUAGGCGGGUCUUUAAGUCAGGGGUGAAAUGCCAAGGCUCAACCUUGGAACUGCCUUUGAUACUGGAGACCUUGAGUCCGGGAGAGGUGAGUGGAAAUUGCGAGUGUAGAGGUGAAAAUUCGUAGAUAUUCGCAAGAACACCAGUGGCGAAGGCGGACUCACUGGCCCGGAACUGACGCUGAGACGCGAAAAGCGUGGGGAGCAAACAGGGA
rnacentral:rRNA from 1 species